CAGGAUAUGAUUUAUAGCAUGAAUUAGCUGCUUUUGUGUGAUGAAGGGUAUAAUUAAACUCUGGUAGCAGCAUGCGGCCAUGGCAAAUGGCUUGGCAGAGAGCUGAUCUCUGGAAGCUGGCUUACACGGAACAGGGUUUGUGUUGCUGGUGCCACCGACAGGUCAGCAGGACAGCCUGGUCCCUGAGCAGGCUCCUUCCUAUCUUUGUCAAGCUCAAAGGCAACACGCGGGUUUACAAGGAGCAAGGCAAGCCAGAAGGGGCAGAAGUCUGAAGCAUCUCUUCCUGAGUCUUCAAGUCAUCUCUUCAUCAUCCAAACACUCCAU
rnacentral:lncRNA from 1 species